rnacentral:rRNA from 1 species
AAGACUGGCGGCUGCUAUACAUGCAAGUCGAGCGGACAGAUGGGAGCUUGCUCCCUGAUGUUAGCGGCGGACGGGUGAGUAACACGUGGGUAACCUGCCUGUAAGACUGGGAUAACUCCGGGAAACCGGGGCUAAUACCGGAUGGUUGUUUGAACCGCAUGGUUCAAACAUAAAAGGUGGCUUCGGCUACCACUUACAGAUGGACCCGCGGCGCAUUAGCUAGUUGGUGAGGUAACGGCUCACCAAGGCAACGAUGCGUAGCCGACCUGAGAGGGUGAUCGGCCACACUGGGACUGAGACACGGCCCAGACUCCUACGGGAGGCAGCAGUAGGGAAUCUUCCGCAAUGGACGAAAGUCUGACGGAGCAACGCCGCGUGAGUGAUGAAGGUUUUCGGAUCGUAAAGCUCUGUUGUUAGGGAAGAACAAGUACCGUUCGAAUAGGGCGGUACCUUGACGGUACCUAACCAGAAAGCCACGGCUAACUACGUGCCAGCAGCCGCGGUAAUACGUAGGUGGCAAGCGUUGUCCGGAAUUAUUGGGCGUAAAGGGCUCGCAGGCGGUUUCUUAAGUCUGAUGUGAAAGCCCCCGGCUCAACCGGGGAGGGUCAUUGGAAACUGGGGAACUUGAGUGCAGAAGAGGAGAGUGGAAUUCCACGUGUAGCGGUGAAAUGCGUAGAGAUGUGGAGGAACACCAGUGGCGAAGGCGACUCUCUGGUCUGUAACUGACGCUGAGGAGCGAAAGCGUGGGGAGCGAACAGGAUUAGAUACCCUGGUAGUCCACGCCGUAAACGAUGAGUGCUAAGUGUUAGGGGGUUUCCGCCCCUUAGUGCUGCAGCUAACGCAUUAAGCACUCCGCCUGGGGAGUACGGUCGCAAGACUGAAA